GUGCGGAUAUGAUGAACAUCAGAGGCUGUUUCUGAGUAUGAGCCAAAAGCUCGUCCCUUGCUGCAAAAUAACUGAUUUGCCUAUCUGAUCCGAAC